rnacentral:rRNA from 1 species
UACAGAGGUCUCAACCGUUGUUCGGAUUCAUUGGGCGUAAAGGGUGCGUAGGCGGUCGUGCAAGUCGGAUGUGAAAUCUCAGGGCUCAACCCUGAAACUGCAUUCGAUACUGCGCGGCUAGAGUGCUGGAGGGAGACUGGAAUUUACGGUGUAGCAGUGAAAUGCGUAGAUAUCGUAAGGAAGACCAGUGGCGAAGGCGGUACGUCUGGA